CCUAAUACAUGCAAGUCGAGCGAACGGACGAGAAGCUUGCUUCUCUGAUGUUAGCGGCGGACGGGUGAGUAACACGUGGAUAACCUACCUAUAAGACUGGGAUAACUUCGGGAAACCGGAGCUAAUACCGGAUAACUAUUUUGAACCGCAUGGUUCACAAGUGGAAGACGGUCUUGCUGUCACUUAUAGAUGGAUCCGCGCUGCAUUAGCUAGUUGGUAAGGUAACGGCUUACCAAGGCAACGAUGCAUAGCCGACCUGAGAGGGUGAUCGGCCACACUGGAACUGAGACACGGUCCAGACUCCUACGGGAGGCAGCACUCAGGGAAUCUUCCGCAAUGCGCGAAAGCCCGACGGAGCAACGCCGCGUGAGUGAUGAAGGUCUUCGGAUCGUAAAACUCUGUUAUUAGGGAAGUACAUAUGUGUAAGUAACUAUGCACGUCUUGACGGUACCUAAUCAGAAAGCCACGGCUAACUACGUGCCAGCAGCCGCGGUAAUACGUAGGUGGCAAGCGUUAUCCGGAAUUAUUGGGCGUAAAGCGCGCGUAGGCGGUUUUUUAAGUCUGAUGUGAAAGCCCACGGCUCAACCGUGGAGGGUCAUUGGAAACUGGAAAACUUGAGUGCAGAAGAGGAAAGUGGAGUUCCAUGUGUAGCGGUGAAUGCGCAGAGAUAUGGAGGAACACCAGUGGCGAAGGCGACUUUCUGGUCUGUAACUUACGCUGAUG
rnacentral:rRNA from 1 species